rnacentral:ncRNA from 1 species
GUGUUCGUUAAAAGGAGAGAUGGUUGGCAUCUCCCCUGACAGGGACGGGAACAGCCUUCGGGCUUUUCUCUAUCACAUCGGUUAAAGGCUACCCACCUCUCGGUGGAUCUAUAACCCAAUUUUUUU